CGUAGGCGGCCUGCUAAGUCACACGUGAAACCCCUCGGCUCAACCGGGGAACUGCGUGUGAUACUGGCGGGCUUGAAUUCGGGAGAGGGAUGUGGAAUUCCAGGUGUAGCGGUGAAAUGCGUAGAUAUCUGGAGGAACACCGGUGGCGAAGGCGGCAUCCUGGACCGAGAUUGACGCUGAGGCGCGAAAGCUAGGGAGCAAACG
rnacentral:rRNA from 1 species